GAAACAAGCACCAAAAGAACAAAAAAAAUUUCAUUGGACUGCAAUGGAAAUUCACUUGUACCUCAUAAAUUUGAAAGAACUCAUAACUUAUUUUUGGAAUUUCAGGAACAGAAGAUUCCAAAAGAUUCCACCUUCAUUAUUUGCCCAAUUUAACCAGUUCCACUCCUAGUAGUGAUCUACAUCUGAAAGCCUUGGAUGAAAGGACUUUAAGAAUCCUAACUAGCCAACACAAGCACAAAUAUCAUGAUGCAAAAGCAAAAUUGACACUCCCAAACUGAUCCACAGAGAGAGAGAGAGAGAGA
rnacentral:misc_RNA from 1 species